GUGGGGAAUCUUGCGCAAUGGGCGAAAGCCUGACGCAGCCAUGCCGCGUGAAUGAUGAAGGUCUUAGGAUUGUAAAAUUCUUUCACCGGGGACGAUAAUGACGGUACCCGGAGAAGAAGCCCCGGCUAACUUCGUGCCAGCAGCCGCGGUAAUACGAAGGGGGCUAGCGUUGCUCGGAAUUACUGGGCGUAAAGGGCGCGUAGGCGGACAUUUAAGUCAGGGGUGAAAUCCCAGAGCUCAACUCUGGAACUGCCUUUGAUACUGGGUGUCUUGAGUGUGAGAGAGGUAUGUGGAACUCCGAGUGUAGAGGUGAAAUUCGUAGAUAUUCGGAAGAACACCAGUGGCGAAGGCGACAUACUGGCUCAUUACUGACGCUGAGGCGCGAAAGCGUGGGGAGCAAACAGGAUUAGAAACCCUAGUAGUCC
rnacentral:rRNA from 1 species